GGGCCCGCACAAGCAGCGGAGCGUGUGGUUUAAUUCGAUGUUACACGAAGAACCUUACCAGGGUUUGACAUGCAAGUGGUAGGAAGCCGAAAGGUGACCGACCCUUCGGGGAGCUUGCACAGGUGCUGCAUGGCUGUCGUCAGCUCGUGUCGCGAGAUGUUCGGUUAAGUCCGCUAACGAGCGCAACCCUCGCUGUGUGUUAUAUGUGUCACACGGGACUGCCGGUCUUAAGCCGGAGGAAGGUGGGGAUGAUGUCAAGUCAGCAUGGCCUUUAUAUCCUGGGCUACACACACGCUACAAUGGCCAACACAAUAGGUUGCCAAGCCGCGAGGCGGAGCCAAUCCUAAAAAGCUGGCCUCAAUUCAGAUUGCAGUCUGAAACUCGACUGCAUGAAGUCGGAGUUGCUAGUAAACGCAGGUCAGCUAUACUGCGUUGAAUACGUUCCCGGGGCUU
rnacentral:rRNA from 1 species